AUUGAACGCUGGCGGCAGGCCUAACACAUGCAAGUCGAACGAGUGGCGGACGGGUGAGUAAUGUCGGGGAAACUGCCCGAUGGCGGGGGAUAACUACUGGAAACGGUAGCUAAUACCGCAUACCAACGGAUGUGCCCGGAUGGGAUGAGCUAGUAGGUGGGGUAACGGCUAAACUAGGCGACGAUCCCUAGCUGGGCUGAGAGGAUGACCAGCCACACUGGAACUGUGACACGGUCCAGACUCCUACGGUAGGCAGAAGUGGGUAAUAUUGCACAAUGGGCGCAAGCCCGAUGCAGCAAUGCCGCGUGUAUGAAGAAGGCCUUCGGGUUGUAAAGUACUUUCAGCGAGGAGGCGUUACUCGCAGAAGAAGCACCGGCUAACUACGUGCCAGCCGCCGCGGUAAUUC
rnacentral:rRNA from 1 species